GAUGAACGCUAGCGGCAGGCUUAAUACAUGCAAGUCGAGGGGCAUCAAGGUACACGAAAGUGUAUUGUUGGCGACCGGCGGACGGGUGAGUAAUAGGUAGGUAACCUACCUCAUACUGAGGCAUAGCUGGGAGAAAUUCCAGGUAAUUCCUCAUGAGGUUAUAUGACACAUGUGAUAUAAUCAAAGGUAUCGCAAGGUACUGGUAUGAGAUGGGCUUACUGACCAUUAGCUAGUUGGUGAGAUAAGAGCUCACCAAGGCGAAGAUGGUUAGGGGUUUUGAGAGAGAGAUCCCCCACAUUGGAACUGAGAUACGGUCCGGACUCCUACGGGAGGCAGCAGUAGGGAAUAUUGGGCAAUGGGCGGAAGCCUGACCCAGCCAUGCCGCGUGAAGGAAGACGGCCUUAUGGGUUGUAAACUUCUUUACUAUGCGACUAACUAGAUUUACGAGAUAAUUCUAUAGAAUGUAGCAUAGCAAAAGCACCGGCUAA
rnacentral:rRNA from 1 species